rnacentral:rRNA from 1 species
ACCUGCGGAAGGAUCAUUAUUGAAUUAGCGAGGGCUGUCUGCUGGCCCCUUCGGGGGCAUGUGCACGCCCGAGCCGUUUAAAUCAACACCUGUGAACUCACCGUAGGCCUUCGGGCUUAUGUAUCAUAAUAUACUCAGAUCAUAGAAUGUAUGUUUUGCCUUUAAAAAAAAAGCAAUCAAAUACAACUUUCAACAACGGAUCUCUUGGCUCUCGCAUCGAUGAAGAACGCAGCGAAAUGCGAUAAGUAAUGUGAAUUGCAGAUUUUCAGUGAAUCAUCGAAUCUUUGAACGCACCUUGCGCUCCUUGGUAUUCCGAGGAGCAUGCCUGUUUGAGUGUCAUUAAAUCCUCAACCCCGUCGGUCGGUCGGGGCUUGGACUUUGGAGUGUGCUGGCGAAGGUCGGCUCCUCUUUAAAUGCAUCAGCGGAGAAAAACCUUUUUCCCCCUUCAGCGUGAUAACUGCGUUGCGCUGUGGUCGUGAAAGGGUCCGCUCAUAAUGGGACAAACACCAAAUCUGUUUUGACCUCAGAUCAGGUAGGACUACCCGCUGAACUUAAGCAUAUCAAU